UCAGCUCAGUUGGUAGAGUGCUUUCCUCACAUGCAAAAGGCCCUGGGUUCAAUCCCCAGUACAAUGAA
rnacentral:tRNA from 1 species